UCAAAACACAGAUCCUUCUCUCUGAUCUCAUGGAGCAGAAUGACGAACAUUUCGCUAGGAUUCUGCUAGAUGUGCUUCAUGCAGAGACCAAAACCUCAACAAGUGAUCAAAUGGUGAUCUCCUGGGUGCUUAUUCUGUUGAGGCGUUUGAUUAUAAGUAGUAACCCUAUUUUGGAAGUUUUUUUAGUACGAGAUUUGGCCCUUCUCCUGGAACUGCUCAAUCUGCCAUCCAAAGAGCUAAUGAUGCUGGUCAUGCAUUUGCUAGGAUCAGUGCUCAGUCAUGCAAAGGUGGAAGAUGAAAGCAGUAAAUAUUCUCUGGAUGAGUUGAAACCUUCUGAUCUUCAAAAUCUUUGCAUUUUUUUUCCGCAAGGACAGGCUACCAAGACAUCUUUUCAACUUAGCUCGACAGGUCAUGCAAGUUUUGAGCAGGUCACAUGAGACUCAUCGGGAUUUUUUCAUUCAAAAACUCUCAGAAAUGGCAAGAACCUUGAUCAAUGAUGUUUCAGUGACCUAUUGGAAAAUACUUGAUCUUCUAGACUUGCUGAUUAAAAAAAGAAGACCUUGUGAGGCUGAACCUGGAUCUACAACCUGUCUGGAAGUUAGUGUGUGAGGCAAUUGAUGAACUGAGUGGUCAAGCAACUUCUUCGCCUCUUUCUGUUUUCAAAAGUUUCUUUAGAUUUUGUGAGAUUACGAAGGAAGAUCAUCUCAAGUUUGCAGAGCCUCAUAUGAUUAUGUUGAAUCAACUCAUCAGAGACGAUAUUUAUCUGCUGGACAACUCGUUUUCUUUGUUGUGGAAGACGCCAGAAGUGAUUGAUUUCGCCAACAAAAGGAAAUAUUUCAAGGCAAAGGUUUUUGAAGAUGGGCCAAGCUAUUUCGAACCAACACUGGAGAUCACGUGUUUAGGCAGUCCUACCAUCUGUUUGAAAACUGCAACACGUUAGAUUUAAGAAGCAGUAUACGUGUGAGCUUUCACGGUGAGGAAGGCAUUGAUUUAAAUGGUCUGACUAGAGAGUGGUUUCAACUGCUGUCAAAGGCUUUAAUUGUUCAAAGGAAUAAGGCAGAUGCGUUGGAACCUGAGAAUCUAAUUUCUAAAGAUGCAAAAGAACCCGAGCUUUUCAGUGCUGCUGAAUGCUCACUGACCUAUCAGCCAAACCUUCAAUCUCGUGUCCACCCUUCGUACUACACAUUCAUCGGCCUGUGUGGUGGCGUUUGCAUUGUCAUCCAAUAACAUCAUGGAUGUUACGUACAUUCACUCCUUCGUUUUAUAAACACAUGAUUGGAGAUGACAUCACAUAUCAUGACAUGAAGACUAUGGAUCAUGAACUGUUCAACGAGUGGGAAAAACUGUUGCAGAACCCACAAGUGAUAGAGUCAUUCGGCUUGUGGUUUCGUGACAAUGAUACCAUGGUGACCAAAGAAAGUGUUCAAAAGUACAUUGAAGAGGAGGCAUAGUACUUUAUGACAGGAGCUAUAGACGACAAACUCCUGGCCUUCCUCAAAGGUUUCCAUGAACUUAUCCCACAGAAGAAUGCCGCAAUCUUCAACGCCGAAGAGCUUAGGGAUGCUAUGAGUGGCAUGCCUACUAUUCACGUUGAGGCUUUGAAACAAACAGCAAUCUAUGUGAACUACGUAGGAGAUGAUGUUGUAAUUCAAUGGUUCUGGGAGGUGUUAGAGUCUUUCGAGCACAGUGACAAGGCUAAAUUUCUUGGCUUCGUCACUGGAACACAACGGGUCCCGUCAGACGGCUUGGAACUGACUAUCGUGAGAAGUGGGGCUACUAACCGUCUACCUGCUGGACAUACAUGUGCUAAACAACUAGACCUUCCAAGAUACUCUACAAAGGAGCAACUUAGGGAUAAGUUACUAAAAGCCAUUCAAGGGUGUGAUCGUUUUUGUUUUGGGUAGUGGGGUCUUUCUUUUAGAUAGACAAUCAUACUGAUUUGCUUGCUUUUUCAUUUUAUUAUAAAUUGUAGCCAUUGAUCGUUGCUAUAGAGGUGCAUGUGUGUGCCAAUGGAUUUGAACUUAUUUAUAGUCGUGUGUUAUUGAUCAG